UGGGGAAUCUUGCGCAAUGGCCUAACGGCUGACGCAGCGACGCCGCGUGAGGGAUGACGCUCUUCGGAGUGUAAACCUCUUUUGCCUGGAACGAACUAUCAGCAUUUGCUGAUUUGACGGUACCGGGUGAAUAAGCACCGGCUAACUCCGUGCCAGCAGCCGCGGUAAUACGGGGGGUGCGAGCGUUGUCCGGAAUCACUGGGCGUAAAGGGCGCGUAGGUGGCAUGAUAAGGGUGUGGUGAAAGCCCGGGGCUCAACCCCGGGUCGGCCAUGCCGACUGUCAAGCUGGAGUACUGUAGGGGCAGGCGGAAUUCCGGGUGUAGCGGUGGAAUGCGUAGAGAUCCGGAGGAAGACCGGUGGCGAAGGCGGCCUGCUGGGCAGUUACUGACACUGAGGCGCGACAGCGUGGGGAGCAAACAG
rnacentral:rRNA from 1 species